rnacentral:rRNA from 1 species
CCUGAUCCAGCCAUGCCGCGUGAGUGAGAAGGCCUUCGGGUUGUAAAGCUCUUUCGGCGGGGGAAGAAAUUGCACGGGUUAAUACCCUGUGUAGAUGACGGUACCCGAAUAAGAAGCACCGGCUAACUACGUGCCAGCAGCCGCGGUAAUACGUAGGGUGCGAGCGUUAAUCGGAAUUACUGGGCGUAAAGCGUGCGCAGGCGGUUUGGUAAGUCAGAUGUGAAAUCCCCGGGCUCAACCUGGGGAACUGCAUUUGAGACUGCCAGGCUGGAGUUUGGCAGAGGGGGGUGGAAUUCCACGUGUAGCAGUGAAAUGCGUAGAGAUGUGGAGGAACACCGAUGGCGAAGGCAGCCCCCUGGGCCAAUACUGACGCUCAUGCACGAAAGCGUGGGGAGCAAACAGGAUUAGAUACCCUGGUAGUCCACGCCCUAAACGAUGUCAACUAGGUGUUGGGAGGGUUAAACCUUUUAGUGCCGUAGCUAACGCGUGAAGUUGACCGCCUGGGGAGUACGGCCGCAAGGCUAAAACUCAAAGGAAUUGACGGGGAG